rnacentral:rRNA from 1 species
GACGUAGGGCGCUAGCGUUGUCCGGAUUUAUUGGGCGUAAAGAGCUCGUAGGCGGCUUGUUGCGUCGUCCGUGAAAACCCGCAGCUCAACUGCGGGCUUGCGGACGAUACGGGCAGGCUGGAGUUCGGUAGGGGAGACUGGAAUUCCUGGUGUAGCGGUGAAAUGCGCAGAUAUCAGGAGGAACACCGGUGGCGAAGGCGGGUCUCGUGGGCCGAUACUGACGCUGAGGAGCGAAAGCGUGGGGAGCGAACAGG